rnacentral:rRNA from 1 species
AUUGAACGCUGGCGGCAGGCUUAACACAUGCAAGUCGAACGAGUGGCGGACGGGUGAGUAAUGCAUGGGAAUCUGGCUGAUGGAGGGGGAUAACGACUGGAAACUGUCGCUAAUACCGCAUACCAUCGGAUGAGCCCAAGUGGGAUUAGGUAGUGGGUGGGGGAAAGGCUCACAAAGCAGACGAUCCCUAGCUGGUCUGAGAGGAUGAUCAGCCAGACCGGGACUGAGACACGGCCCGGACUCCUACGGUAGGCAGCAGUGGGGAAUAUUGCGCAAGGGGGGCAACCCUGAUGCAGCCAUGCCGCGUGAAUGAAGAAGGCCUUCGGGUUGUAAAGUUCUUUCAGCGGCGAGGCGUUACUCACAGAAGAAGCACCGGCUAACUCCGUGCCAGCAGCCGCGGUAAUUC